rnacentral:tRNA from 1 species
CUUUCCGAAUUCGGGAACUGGGGCCUGCCGCAGGUGAGCCGCCUGCUCGAGGCGGACGGCAGCGAGCCGUGGUGGUUCGAGACCGGCGCGGAGUGG